GCCUCGAUAGCUCAAUGGUAGAGCAGCGGCCUCUUAAGCCGACGGUUGAAGGUUCGAGUCCUUCUCGGGGUA
rnacentral:tRNA from 1 species